rnacentral:rRNA from 1 species
UACGAAGGGGGCUAGCGUUGCUCGGAAUUACUGGGCGUAAAGGGCGCGUAGGCGGCACUGUUAGUCAGGCGUGAAAGUCCUGGGCUCAACCUGGGAACUGCGCUUGAUACGGCAGAGCUAGAGGAUGGAAGAGGCUCGCGGAAUUCCCAGUGUAGAGGUGAAAUUCGUAGAUAUUGGGAAGAACACCGGUGGCGAAGGCGGCGACCUGGUCCUUGACUGACGCUGAGGCGCGAAAGCGUGGGGAGCAAACAGG